rnacentral:rRNA from 1 species
AGUCAUAUGCUUGUCUCAAAGAUUAAGCCAUGCAUGUCUCAGUACAAGCCAAAUUAAGGUGAAACCGCGAAAGGCUCAUUAAAUCAGUUAUGGUUCCUUAGAUCGUACCCACAUUUACUUGGAUAACUGUGGUAAUUCUAGAGCUAAUACAUGCCAACAGAACUCCGACCGGAGACGGAAGGAGUGCCUUUAUUAGAUCAAAACCAAUCGGUGGCGUGACUUCGGUCGUGUCAUCGUACAACAUGGUGAAUCUGAAUAACGUUUGCUGAUCGCACGGUCUCGCACCGGCGACGCAUCUUUCAAAUGUCUGCCUUAUCAACUGUCGAUGGUAGGUUCUGCGCCUACCAUGGUUGUAACGGGUAACGGGGAAUCAGGGUUCGAUUCCGGAGAGGGAGCCUGAGAAACGGCUACCACAUCCAAGGAAGGCAGCAGGCGCGCAAAUUACCCACUCCCGGCACGGGGAGGUAGUGACGAAAAAUAACGAUACGGGACUCAUCCGAGGCCCCGUAAUCGGAAUGAGCACACUUUAAAUCCUUUCACGAGGAUCAAUCGGAGGGCAAGUCAGGUGCCAGCAGCCGCGGUAAUUCCUGCUCCGAUAGCGUAU